AUUGAACGCUGGCGGCAGGCCUAACACAUGCAAGUCGAGCGAGCGGCGGACGGGUGAGUACUGUCUGGGAAACUGCCUGAUGGAGGGGGGUAACUACUGGAAACGGUAGCUAAUACCGCAUACCAUCAGAUGUGCCCAGGUGGGAUUCGCUAGUAGGUGGGGUAACGGCUCACCUAGGCGACGAUCCCUAGCUGGUCUGAGAGGAUGAACAGCCACACUGGAACUGAGACACGGUCCAGACUCCUACGAGAGUCUGCAGUGGGGAAUAUUGCACAAUGGGCGCAUGCCCGAUGCAGCCAUGCCGCGUGUGUGAAGAAGGCCUUCGGGGUGUAAAGCACUUUCAGCGAGGAGGCGUUACCCGCAGAAGAAGCACCGGCUAACUCCGUGCCAGCAGACGCGGUAAUAC
rnacentral:rRNA from 1 species